rnacentral:lncRNA from 1 species
UAUGGCCCAACAGCAGCUGCUGCAUAUCUGAUUAUGGACAUUGCCCUCAGGGUUCCCCGAAUGGAGACGCUGUAGCACGGUCCAGCAGAGAAUCUUCAACUAGAGGUGGUCUGGCAAUGGUGCCUAGGUAUGUGAUGUCUGCACAGCUUGCCCUGCAGCUGUGAAGUUGUGUCCUAAAAGCUGUUUUGUGAGGAAGAAAAUCCUGCCUCUCACCUUGCUGCUGACAUGGAGUGAAACAGGAAAGAUUACAUGAAGAAAGCCUGUGGGUGAUAUUCUCCUCCAGCACUCACUUGAGAUGGGGGGAGCUCAGGUGUUUUGGGGCAAUAUGACUAAGCAGAAGUAAUACACAUGAAUGAAAUUUAAAUCCCAGAGGGAGCUUUUUCAGGAUUUUGGUGCCAGUUUUGUGGUAAUUUUGUGCCAGCUGGACUUUUAGAUUUUCUCUACAAAUACACAAGUACUAGUGUUAAAUCCCCA